CGAACGGGUGAGUAAUGCGUGACCAACCUGCCCCAUGCUCCAGAAUAGCUCUUGGAAACGGGUGGUAAUGCUGGAUGCUCCAACUUGACGCAUGUCUUGUUGGGAAAGUGUUUAGUGGCAUGGGAUGGGGUCGCGUCCUAUCAGCUUGUAGGCGGGGUAAUGGCCCACCUAGGCUUCGACGGGUAGCCGGCCUGAGAGGGCGGACGGCCACAUUGGGACUGAGAUACGGCCCACGACUCCUACGGGAGGCAGCAGGU
rnacentral:rRNA from 1 species